GAAAGAAAGAAAGAAAGGAAGAAACAAUGCUGCUUUAGAAGAAGUUUUAUGCAAUACCAACUUAGAUGUGUUCUGUCUAGAGCUACUGGAGUGAAAGCAUUCCUAUAGUAGUAGCACAAUACAAAAAUGUUAUAUCUUUAUCUAUUCAAGAGGAGUUGGCCAAAACAUUAUCUUCUAAAUUCUAAUUUGGGGGCCAAUACUUCUUUGAUGCUUAUAGAUGAAAAAUAGGAAGACUGAUUUUGAAGAGGAGUAUAAAGAGGAUGAAGAAGAGAACCUUGGAAGUGAUGGAUUUGAAUUUGAUGUUGAUGGAGAUUAUGUUACUCUUCAUGAUGAGUUGGCUGUGUUAUAGUUGUUUUAGGUAUUAUUGCCAUUUAGAUAAUGUACAUUAUGAUUUAAGACUCUUGAACAUCUUUAGUUUUAUUUUGUAUUUGCAUUUGCAUUUCAAAAACAUUGGUACUAGAAUUUUGAAUUUUUAUAUUAUUAAUGGAUAGUUGUCUUCAAUAAGAUUAAAUGUCAUGUGCUCUUCACUUCUCUUAAGCAAGUGCAUUGUGCUUUCAAUAACUAUUGAGUUAAUCUAAUCUUUUAUAUAAAGAGGAAGGGCUACGCCCAUUUUUGUAUCCAAAGGCCUGUUGGGCCUCCCAGUGGAACAAGGGGGAGAGAGGCUGAAACCCUUUGCUACUUCUGACUUGAGGA
rnacentral:misc_RNA from 1 species